CCUACGGGAGGCUGCAGUGGGGAAUAUUGGACAAUGGGGGGAACCCUGAUCCAGCCAUGCCGCGUGUGUGAAGAAGGCCCUCGGGUGGUAAAGCACUUUCAGUGAGGAAGAACGCCUGGUGGUUAAUACCCAUCAGGAAAGACAUCACUCACAGAAGAAGCACCGGCUAACUCCGUGCCAGCAGCCGCGGUAAUACGGAGGGUGCGAGCGUUAAUCGGAAUUACUGGGCGUAAAGCGCGCGUAGGUGGCUUGAUAAGCCGGUUGUGAAAGCCCCGGGCUCAACCUGGGAACGGCAUCCGGAACUGUCAAGCUAGAGUGCAGGAGAGGAAGGUAGAAUUCCCGGUGUAGCGGUGAAAUGCGUAGAGAUCGGGAGGAAUACCAGUGGCGAAGGCGGCCUUCUGGACUGACACUGACACUGAGGUGCGAAAGCGUGGGUAGCAAACAGGAUUAGAUACCCCAGUAGUC
rnacentral:rRNA from 1 species